UCGUGGAGUGAUCUGUCUGCUUAAUUGCGUUUCACACAGGGCGUUUAACAUGCAUGUAUUGUUUUGGUGACGCCGCUCUUUUAGAGUGCUGCUUGUCCCUUACAAUCAUGCAUAGACUGUCCCUGCAUGCAACGAACGUGACCGCAACCUCUUGUUGCUUCUCAUAUAACGUAUGAUUAGUUGAAUUUAUUCAUCUUUUUCAUGCCAG
rnacentral:rRNA from 1 species